UGGCUAGUUUCCUGACUGGGAAACCAUGGCAACGUGCCUGCUGAAUUUUUGAGCUAACCCAAGACAAUUCACAAAUAUGUGAACAGAAAAUGGAUUGUGACAUUCCAGAGCAGAAACUGUUUGAAAUGAUUCCCCAUCCAGUCUAUGGGAUAUCACCUGUAUGAGACAAGGGCACCAAACAGUUGCUGUGUGAUGAGUUCCAGAAUGAAGAUGUCAUCUGUCACAUUCAUCAUAUUCGGCUAACUGACAUCCUUUCUUUGAUAGCUUAAUGUUAAGAGUUAAUAAUCCACACAAAUGAGCCAGGGGUGGG